CAGCCGCCACGGUAAUACAGAGGGUGCGAGCGUUAAUCGGAUUUACUGGGCGUAAAGCGUGCGUAGGCGGCUUUUUAAGUCGGAUGUGAAAUCCCUGAGCUUAACUUAGGAAUUGCAUUCGAUACUGGGAAGCUAGAGUAUGGGAGAGGAUGGUAGAAUUCCAGGUGUAGCGGUGAAAUGCGUAGAGAUCUGGAGGAAUACCGAUGGCGAAGGCAGCCAUCUGGCCUAAUACUGACGCUGAGGUACGAAAGCAUGGGGAGCAAACAGGAUUAGAUACCCGUGUAGUCCCUGUCUCUUUACA
rnacentral:rRNA from 1 species